rnacentral:misc_RNA from 1 species
GUCUUUUUUGCCAACAUGAUAUAACAGUCAAACACAGCAAGCGUGAAUGUCUCAGGACUCGGCCUACCACCCCAAGGGGCUGGUAAGUCCGAGCCCGAGUCAAUGUGGGGGAGGGGGACUGCGCCAUGUUACUGCCGCGAGUCCCGACUACCACCAUCCAUGAUUUGUUAAUGAUCCUUCCGCAGGUUCACCUACGGAAA